rnacentral:rRNA from 1 species
UACAGAGGGGGCAAGCGUUAUUCGGAAUUAUUGGGCGUAAAGGGCGCGUAGGCGGCUUGGCAAGUGGAUGGUGAAAUCCCUCGGCUUAACCGAGGAACUGCCUGUCAGACUGGGUUGCUUGAGACCGGGAGAGGCGAGUGGAAUUCCCAGUGUAGCGGUGAAAUGCGUAGAUAUUGGGAGGAACACCAGUGGCGAAGGCGGCUCGCUGGACCGGAACUGACGCUGAGGCGCGAAAGCGUGGGGAGCAAACAGG